rnacentral:rRNA from 1 species
GAUGAACGCUGGCGGCAUGCCUAACACAUGCAAGUCGAUCGGUAAGGCUCUUCGGAGUACACGAGAGGCGGACGGCUGAGUAACGCGUAGGAACACACCCUGCAGUGAGGGAUAAGACACCGAAAGUUGUUCUAAUACCGCAUACGGUCUUCGGAUUAAAGCAUUUAUGCGCUGAAGGAGUGGCCUGCGUCAUAUUAGAUAGUUGGUGAGGUAAUGGCUCACCAAGUCGAUGAUGUGUAGCUGGUCUGAGAGGAUGAUCAGUCAGACUGGAACUGAGACACGGUCCAGACUCCUACGGGAGGCAGCAGUGAGGAAUAUUUCACAAUGAGCGAAAGCUUGAUGGAGCAAUGCCGCGUGCAGGAUGAAGGCCCUCGGGUUGUAAACUGCUUUUAUAAGAGAAGAUUAUGACGGUAACUUAUGAAUAAGGGACGGCUAACUACGUG